UUUCCCCCCGUUAUAUAGCAAAGAUCACGAAAAGGCCCGAAAAAGUACAUUUAGUUCAAAAUUUGGAGUAGAAAAAAAAACAAUAGAAGAAUUCCAUUUUCCUUCGUCAUUCAUCGGAGAGCUCUCUUUAGGCUUUCCGAAAAGGUAUCACAUGCCAAGUUUGGCCUCACGGUCUAAAAGUUAUAGAGUCAUACAUUUUUAACAAAACAAAAUAGAGAAAAACCGAAAAAAGAGGGAUUUAACACGAGGACUUUCUGA
rnacentral:sRNA from 1 species